GCUCAUUUAAUGCUCGAAAAAACAUUAUGAAGAUCCGUGGGACCCACCAAAAAUGGUAUAUGAAAAUUUUGAAAUUUAUAUUGCCGUGAAGCUAUCGACGAAUGGAGCGCUCUAGUACUCUCAGUUUUCUCGUGGGGUUCACGGUUUACGAGAAAUCUAGUCCAAAAGUCAAAAUGGGCUAAAAACUUCCCGGGCAAAAAUCGGACAAACUGGUCGAUGGAUUUCGGUGUUCUUGAUGUCUAUGGAAAGCUCUCGACGAGCAGAUGAGUUUAGACA
rnacentral:misc_RNA from 1 species